UUUUCAAAUUUUAUUUUUAAUGUCAAAUGUGGAGAGUUAUAUUGUAUCUGGAAUCUGAAACAUUCUUCACAAUUUACAAAUGAUGACCUUUGAUAUGGUAUGAUCCUCUCCUGAGUGGUUGCACGGUGUGUGUAGCAGGAUUACAUUACUAAGGUGACACAAUUGUGACAGUUCCCCCCCCGAGGUGCCACCUGGUAAUGGGGUACCAUGGAGCCCCCCUGACCCACCAGCCUGGGCUCCCUCUACACUGUACCACUGUGAUCAGCCUGCUAAGCCCUCUCCCAGGCUCCAGAAUACACACAGGGUGAAGCAAUGCAUCAUCGCCCUUCUCAAUGAACAGAAUGGAUUCUCAUGCAUAACUGCUUCAGAUGUGAUCAGCUCACAGUAGCAGCCACAUGCCUGUUUAGCAGGAGACCUGCUGAUGACCACAGUUGCAUGGAUGUCCAGAGACUGGACCAAUGGAAAACUUUGUUCCUUUUUGAUGACAUCACUGGCUUCUGUGACAGAAAAUAAAAGAUGCCUCUGAAGAAGCAUUCAGAAGCUCAGUUUAGAAAGUGAAAAUCUCAGUUGCAAUAUAGUUUGCAACAAGGGGCAAAUUUGAAGGGGAAACAUCUGAAACAGAACAACAUAGACUGGAUUUUAGGCAGUAGCGAUUUUCCCAGUGCAGGAGAAAUUGAGGAGUGAUACAUAAAUGAUGGAAGUCCUAUUACUAAGGAAUUAGCAAAUUUAUUUGAAGAUAGGGACUGGAACUGUGAGGAAAGUGAUGGAGAAUCAUCCAGUUUUCCUGAUGGUGUAAAGGAGAGUGAUGAUAAAGAAGAAUAUGGCUCACAUGAAAAGGAGAGUAAUGAUGAAGAAAAAUCUGCCUCGCAUGAUGACAGAAACAGCAGUGAGAAAAAUUGCACAUCCGAAAUUGAUACAUCAGAUCCUGCUUUAUGGCCAGCAAUCCUAAACUCUGCCGAUAUUGAUUGUACAAUUUUGAAUAGGCCUGGGAAAGUCAAGGAUAUGACAUUUCCAGUAAAUGAGAAGAAGUGACAUUUCUCAAAGUCACACUGAGGCAAAGAGGCAAUGGCAGGAGCCAACUGGAACCAUGAUGGCUCAUGUUAUGCCAUGCUGAUCAGUGAGAGCUCAGACACUGAACGGAGAAGAACCCUGUUAGGCUCCUGGUCGUUGAGUGACUACUGAACGCCACACCACCAUUUGUCUGCCUGUGAGACCUUAAGGGUGGGGAGUCUCUCUAUUUGAAUGUACAGUACCUAGCUCACUGAGGCCCUGAUCUCAGCUGGGGCCUCUAAGUGCUACUGUAAUCCAAUACUACUACUACUACUAACAAUAAUAUGUAGGUAUAUCUGCUUUGCACCCCUCCCUGCCACCUCCAGCAUAUGCUGUGUGACAUGGACAGGACCGAAACUGUAGGAUAUCGCAGAAGGAUCAUGCCACAAGCUGACGACGUAGGAAGUUUCCCACCUCUGAAUAGUUGUUAGAAUCUUCUCUGCAUCACAAAAGGAACAUGCUAAUAAUGGGACCGACCAAAGAGCAGAAGGAAGAACCAAUGACAGUCUAUGUUACAAUUGUGGAUUUGUUAACACCACCAUGCGUGGCACUAACCAGCCCUGUCUGCCCUGUGACUCCUCUCAGAAGAGUCAUGUAGUGUUGUCUGCAGCCACUGGCAUCCAUCAUGUCCACCAGCCAUUACUGAAGUGGCUGGAAUGGAGUGUGGAGGAGGAGGCACUAAGUGCACCUGCUGCAGAGUCACGGGCUUGGGUAUUCCCUGCAGCUCAUGAACAUAUACGUAUUUUUGCAGCCCUGCUUAUACCACAGUUUUCUGGAGCUGGGGAAGCGGGGGGAGGGGAGGGGGAAUGAGACCCAAUAGCCACAUGUCAAAACCUGCAGGGGGGAGGAUUUACUACCUUGUUCCCCUCUGAAUGGUUUUUAUGGAAAAACUGGAGCCUUAAUAAACAGCUUAAGUGAUUUAUUACUGACUUCAGCUUCAAGACAGUUUGUGUGGCACUACUGUGGAACACAAGCCAUCCCCCUCCUUCUGGGAAUGAACACCCUGGUUUCACAUUUCACAUAGCCAGAGAGACUCAAUUUCAUUUACACCAAUGUAAAGGCAGAGUAAAUCCACCAAAAGCAUUGGAACCAAACCCAGACAGGCAGAAGUACAGCUCAGAGCACUGACCACAAAACCACAAGUGCAUCAGGCUGCAGGCAUAGUUUUUCAAUAAGUACCCUUUCCUCAUUAGCUGAUUGAUCCAAAGACAAUUGGGAGUCUGUCCAAUGUCUUCAAUGGGCCCUGGAUCAGGCCUUACCAGUGAGGCCUGGGGCUGCAUAACACUUCAGCAAACAAAAAAAGUUAAUUGAUCUCCAUUUUAAAAAUGUUCAGUAAUGUUAACGGCCUGAAAUGUGGGUUUGCUUUUCUAGUGAUGUGAAAUAAAUCACGUUGAUGCAUGUGAUCAACUGAUACAUGGUGUGGUUCAAAUGCAGAAGUUUACACUCAGAGUGAAAGGUUAAGAGUUGAAGACCUAUCAAAAUUAAGAAUCCAAUAACAGUGGGGGAUUUCAAUUACCCCAUAUUAACUGGGAACAUUUCA